CCUACGGGAGGCAGCAGUGAGGAAUAUUGGUCAAUGGCCGAGAGGCUGAACCAGCCAAGUCGCGUGAGGGAAGACGGCCCUACGGGUUGUAAACCUCUUUUGUCGGGGAGCAAAGAGAUUCACGUGUGACUCAUUGAGAGUACCCGAAGAAAAAGCAUCGGCUAACUCCGUGCCAGCAGCCGCGGUAAUACUGAGGAUGCGAGCGUUAUCCGGAUUUAUUGGGUUUAAAGGGUGCGCGGGCGGCGGGGGAAGUCAGCGGUCAACUUGCGGGGCUCAACCCCGUACUGCCGUUGACACUGCAUGCCUUGAGUGCGCGAGAAGUAUGCGGAAUGCGUGGUGUAGCGGUGAAAUGCAUAGAUAUCACGCAGAACUCCGAUUGCGAAGGCAGCAUACCGGCGCGCAACUGACGCUCAUGCACGAAAGCGUGGGUAUCGAACAGGAUUAGAUACCCGGGUAGUC
rnacentral:rRNA from 1 species